UUUGAGUUCUUUCCCUAGGAUUGCAGGAUUUUGAGUUUGAAGUGAACAUGCCAUGUUUACUUUUGCAUGCUAGCGUACUCGGUGGUCAAGCUACUGCAUCUACUUAAAUGUGAAGCUUGCUUAUAGUCUCAAAAAGAUACUUAAUUGUUUACUUCUGGACCUCCUCUCUGUCUAAAUAAUCAAUUUUGCAGAACAUGUAAAUUAAUAUAUAUACCAUGUUUUGUUUUGUAUCCAUAUAACUUUACACCAUUUGUUCUGAGGUUUUUCAAUGAUUAGUCAUACUAGAACCACAAAUUCAGCUAUUGAUUAUAUCUGUUUUGAGUGCAAAGUUUCAGAUAAGCUUGUCACAGAUCUUUAGUUGGUAGAUUUUCUCCAGUAUUGCCCAGAAAUAAGAAGGGGAAGAAUGGGAAGCCUGUGCUGCGAAAAAUGAAGGAUGGUAGGAUGUUGAAUUGGAAUGUGCAAUCAGUUGAUCCUGGUUGCAACCUUCAAGAAGCAUUCGAGAAAUCCAAAUUAUGUUUCAGUUUUUUGCGGCAUCCUCCAAACCAUCCUUAAGUCAUGUUUUACUAACUACAGUGGAUUAUUAUGUUUUAGUUUUUGCGGUAUACUUGUCUAACACAUCCGAUUUGCAAUUUGAAAACAUGUAAUCUUUGAGUAUGCAAGGGAGACCAUCAUUUUCUCUAGCUUCGAGCCCGAUGCUGCGCAGCUUGUCCAAAAAUAGCAAAGCACAAUACCCUUUAUGAUGUUAAGAUUUACUAGACAAGAUCUACACUGAUGCGAGGAGGAACUCAUUGGAAGAGGCAGCCAAGCUGUGUCUGAUGGUAGUAAUUGUUUUAUUAAUAAAAUGCUCAAUUCGCUGAUUGUUUUUGAAAAUGACACUGUUUUUCUUUGAUGGAGAUGGGGACAAAAACAUUGAAGAAAAGAGGAGAACAGGUUGAUGCAGUGUCGAUUUAAAGUGUUGGGACAUGUGAAUUCCUUUUGAUCUUAUUUGAAUUAUGUUGACCCACAUGAAUAUUGUGUUACACACUAUCUGUAAUUUAGCAAAGCUUUCUGAUUAUGGCAAGGGAAAGCUG